AAUGGGAGAACAUAAACAAGUACUAUAGAAGAGUUAAAGAAAGCCAAAAGAAAAGGCCAGAAGAUUCAAAAACAUGUCCAUAUUUUCAUCAAUUGGAUUCCAUCUAUCAAAACAAGUCCAAGAAACAAUUGCCCAUUAUGGAAACUCCGGGUUCGAAUAUGAAGGCCGGAGAGAUACUAAUGCAAAUAAUCAACCAACAACAGCAACAACAAGCAUUAGAAAGAACAGAAUGUUGAACAAAAGUUUGUUCAAGAACAAAGUAAUGCAAAUAAUAGAUUGAUGGACAAGAAGGUUUUUCUAUUUUACUUUGUGGUUAGUGUACCAUUUUUGACAAGUGGGACAAAAUCAAUUAUGUGCUUUGGAAAUGUGGGAUUAUGUGUGAGGGAGGAACUUUUUCAUUCACAAAGUUAGUUUUACUAUAAAUGCACACACAAAGAAAGUGGCAUAUUUUCUUUUUUUCUAGUUAGGUAUAUUUAAUCAUUUGUUGUUAGUAGUUAAAUAGUGUCAUAGGGAAUAGUUUUAGCUUUGGUGUGAUUUUGAUAUUUCUUUUUUUGAAGAUUAUAUAUGUAGCAUAUAGUAUACAUUUUCUUCUUUUGAGGCUUUGGUUUCUCAACCAUAUCCUCCAUAAGUACAUGUGUGUAAUAGUUCAAAAUAGUUGAUUGUGUUUGUAUGAAUUUAGAAUAUACUUUUACAUGUUUGU
rnacentral:misc_RNA from 1 species